UUGGGCAUGGAACUGCCUUCGAA
rnacentral:miRNA from 1 species